UUAUUAUUCAUCUUAAAAAAAAAAAAAGAAAAUAAAGUGCUUUUUAUGUACAAAAACAUCCACAAUAUAUGAUAAAAAAAAAAUACACAACAGGUUCAUUUGAUAAACACAUUUUCAUGCAGUUUACAGGACCACACAUGUCUAAUAGUUCAGUCGAAUAAGCUUAGUGUACAGUGCUGACACAAUAAAGAGGUUGAUAUUAGUGUUUCACUAUUGAUUAACAGAUUGAUUCUGACUUUUAUUGUAGCUGUGUACAUUCAUGAUACAGAGAGCUGCCAAAACAAAGUGAACAGUAAGUCACUGGCCAGGCUAUACACCCCCUGCUCUUAACAUGGUGCUGCCUUCAUUGAAAUCUCACAUUGGAAUACAUUACAUUAGAAUAUAUGUUAGAUUAUCCCUAACCAUGUACACAACCUACUCCCCUUUUUCAAAAUUAAAGAUAUCUAAUUCCAAAUGUUCCGUAGCUGUAAUGACUACCAAGGGGAGUUUCCACAGUACAAAUACGCGGUGUGAAGACAUGCCCAGUCAAGACAUCUUUGUUUUUAAUAUUUUUUAGGAAAAUGUAUAGUGGUCAUUUUAAGGCAGCAGAAACAUUUACAAAGCUUGCAUGAGGUGUGUAGCCUCAUUGGGCACUGUACUAUACAUCCCUCUUGUGUAAGAAAACCAAUUGUGUUGAUUUUAAGCACGUGUCUCAAAUGCAUUUUGGCAGAAGCUACAUACAAAUAUGUAUCUUUUGGCGUUUGACAUGUAAUGGCAAAUGGUCAAGUAUUAUAUUCCUGUACAUUUGUCUUUGUGAGAUCUAGUAGGACACAGCUAUACAGAGCAGCUUGUACUACAGGUCAUGUACAGUAUCAGUUGACUAAAAUGCAAAUAAUGUAAAUGGUCAUGAAGGGCCCUAGGCUUGAUAAGAGUAGGACAGCUCCCACAGUUAACAGCAGGAAACACAAAGGGCAGAUAGAUAGGAUGUAGAAUAUUGUAAUGGUUAAAGACUGACCAAUAACCCAAAGGUUGGUAGUUUGAAUCCUCAAGCUGUUAAAUGGUGUAGGACGCUGUCAUAUAGUGUAUUGACCCUCUGGGAUAGUGUAUGACGCUGCCGGAUAGUGUAUUAACGCUGUGGGAUAGUGUAUGAUGCUGCCGGAUAGUGUAUUAACGCUGUGGGAUAGUGUAUGACGCUGCCGGAUAGUGUAUUAACGCUGUCGGAUAGUGUAUGACGCUGCCGGAUAGUGUAUUAACGCUGUCGGAUAGUGUAUGACGCUGCCGGAUAGUGUAUUAACGCUGCGGGAUAGUGUAUGACGCUGCCGGAUAGUGUAUUAACGCUGUCGGAUAGUGUAUGACGCUCUGGGAUAGUGUGAGACUCUGUGGGGAAAAGUUUAUUGACGCUGUGGGAUAAAGUUUAUUGGCGCUGUGGGAUAAUGUAGGACGCCGUGGGAUGGUGUAUGACGCCGUGGGAUGGUGUAUGACGCCGUGGGAUGGUGUAUGACGCCGUGGGAUGGUGUAUGACGCCGUGGGAUGGUGUAUGACGCCGUGGCAUGGUGUAUGACGCCGUGGCAUGGUGUAUGACGCCGUGGCAUGGUGUAUGACGCCGUGGCAUGGUGUAUGACGCCGUGGGAUGGUGUAUGAUGCCUUGGGAUAAUGUAGGAUGAAAAGAUAUGCUCAAACACAGGGUUAGUGAGGGUUUGUGUAAUUAACAGGGUGAGCUAGCAUGGUAGGCUAGUGUAAUUAGUUAACAGGUUGGGCUAAUGUAAUUAGUUAGCCGGGAGGGCUAGUGUAGUUCGUUAGCUGGUUGGGUUAGAUUGGUUAGCAGGAUGGGGUAGUUUAGUAUGCAGGGUGGGGUAGUUUAGUAUGCAGGGUGGGCUAGUGUAGUUAGUUAGAAAGGUGUGCUAGUGUACUCAUCUGGUUAUCACUGGUUGAGUUAGUGAGUUAGCCCACUGUGCAUAGUGGCUGGUUCAGUUAAAAAUACCCAUGUUGGGCUACAAUCAGGCCCGGCAUCACUAACACAAUUAUUCACUGUGGUUCGUGGUGAAUAUGGCACAUAGCUGAAGGGCCAGUGUUUAAAGGCAUAACCAAACCGUGGCUUGAACUGUCUCAUGGAACAAAACAUGAAGUAAGCUUUUAAAAAAACCUGCAGUGUGGACUUUUUAGGUCCUAAAUAUUUCUACCACAAAACAUCUUUCUCCUGUUCCCACAGACAAAAAAACCCAACAUUCACCUGUUUCCAUAAACACAAAACAUCUUUCAAUUGGUCCUAUAGACACAAAACAUCUUUCAAUUGGUCCUAUAGACACAAAACAUCUUUCAGUUGGUCCUAUAGAGACACCAUGUACUGUAUUCACAGACCCCUAGGACAGUUGGCACGCAGUAUCACUUUCUGUGCAAGUACUUUGUCAAAAUGUAGCAGAGAAAAUAUAGCCUUGACGUUUGAUAAAACAAAAUAUAUUUUGUGGUUUUGGAAUAUGUGAAUUUAUCAACACAUUAAAUAACUGACGCAUUCCACAACUCCGUGUACUCAUUCUGUGCUUCAGAAAGUCUCCGGUUAUCAUGACUGGACAUCUUUGGAAAUCUGUUUGAUAAGUCUCAUUGAUGUGGUUCUAUAAGUAAUCAAUUAGUAGUCAUUGCUUCGAAACUAGUCCCUGAAUUAAUAUUAUGAAGUCAUGUUCUCUCUCAGGUCGACCCAGCCCAUAGAGAUGGAUAAGAGGACUCAGUAAUAAUAUUAAGACAUACUCUCUCUCAGGUCGACCCAACCAAUAGAGAUUAUAAGAGGACUCAGCAAUAAUAUGAAGACAUGUUCUUUCUCAAGUCAGCCCAGCCCAUAGAGAAAAGAGGUCUCAUCUGUCCUUUUGAGUCACUAUGACGUGCGCACGCUUGGGCAGUGCCAUUGAGGGAAUCUCUUCUUUGCAACUGACUGAUCCCAGUUGGACAUGCAAGAGCCUUAAGGAGGGAUCAGCCAAUAAAGCUGAAGGUCCCACCCAGUUGACUACGUUCAAAACAGUGGAAGCCCUCUAUGGUGAUGUGUAUGCCAGGAAAUGUAAUUUCUCCUUCAGGUAAGGCUAUAAUAUGGUCCAUCCAUUCUCCUGUAUCUCAGUAGUGUCAGUCUAGGAAGAGGGGUUGUGUUACAUGUUUUAGUUGUGUCUGAGGUUGUGUUACAUAAUGUAGUUGUAUCUGGGGUUGUGUCACAUAUAGUAGUUGUAUCUGGGGUUGUGUCACAUAUAGUAGUUGUAUCUGGGGUUGUGUUACAUAUUGAAAUUGUAUCAGGGGCUGUGUUACAUAUUGUAGUUUCACACAUUGCUUAUACUGCAUACAAUAUAUACACAAUACAUACCAUCAGACUUCCAUCUGCACUAUCAAUUAGCAGGAAUGCUUGAUUGUGAUCUGUACAUUUCUAAUUUGUACUUGUGUUGACCAUGUUGUUUUAUGUUCUAGCCACAUGAAUUAUCCUAUUAUUUAACUAAACAUACAUUGUUUAGGAGCAGCAACACCUGCAUCUAGUCUGGCAGAAACCAGCGCUGGCUCCUCCAAUCACCUCAGCAAGGUGCAAACAACCUGAAGAUAUACAUAGUACCCUAAUCCCUUCCCAUUGUGCUUCUCACUUCCAUAUGGUGUGGCCCAAAGUCAAUUCCGGUGGCGUGAUCCAAAUUCUAUUUGUGUGGCCUAUUCAAUAGUGUACUCCUAUGCCGCGGUCAAGAGUCUAUUCCUAUACCGCGACCAAUAGUCUACUCCUAUGCCGUGGUCAAGAGUCUAUUCCUAUGCCGCGGUCAAGAGUCUAUUCCUAUGCCGCGGUCAAGAGUCUAUUCCUAUGCCGCGGUCAAGAGUCUAUUCCUAUGCCGCGGUCAAGAGUCUAUUCCUAUGCCGCGGUCAAUAGUCUAUUCGUGUAGCGUGGUCCAUAAUCUAUUCGUGUAGCGUGGUCCAUAAUCUAUUCGUGUAGCGUGGUCCAUAAUCUAUUUGUGUAGCGUGGUCCAUAAUCUAUUUGUGUGCCGUGGUCCAUAAUCUAUUCGUGUGGCGUGGUCCAUAAUGUAUUCAUGUAGCGUGGUCCAUAAUCUAUUUGUGUGCCGUGGUCCAUAAUGUAUUCAUGUGCCGUGGUCCAUAAUCUAUUCAUGUAGCGUGGUCCAUAAUCUAUUCAUGUAGCGUGGUCCAUAAUCUAUUCGUGUAGCGUGGUCCAUAAUCUAUUCGUGUAGCGUGGUCCAUAAUCUAUUCGUGUAGCGUGGUCCAUAAUCUAUUCGUGUAGCGUGGUCCAUAAUCUAUUCGUGUGCCGUAUUUUUGUGUCCUAGUCCAUACUCUUAAUCCUGUGACUGCAUGGACAUUGUAUGGUUUUCAAGCGGUCACAGCUGGAGACAGGUGAUGUAGUGGUCACAGCUGGAGACAGGUGAUGUAGUGGUCACAGCUGGAGACAGGUGAUGUAGUGGUCACAGCUGGAG
ensembl:lncRNA